rnacentral:rRNA from 1 species
UACAGAGGGUGCGAGCGUUAAUCGGAAUUACUGGGCGUAAAGCGAGUGUAGGCGGUUUCGUAAGUCGGAUGUGAAAGCCCCGGGCUCAACCCGGGAAGUGCACUCGAUACUGCGAAGCUAGAGUACUGGAGAGGUUGGUGGAAUUCUCGGUGUAGAGGUGAAAUUCGUAGAUAUCGAGAGGAACACCGGUGGCGAAGGCGGCCAACUGGACAGAUACUGACGCUGAGACUCGAAAGCGUGGGGAGCAAACAGG